UACGGAGGGUGCGAGCGUUGUCCGGAAUCAUUGGGCGUAAAGGGCGCGUAGGUGGCCCGGUCAGUUCGUGGUGAAAGCGCGGGGCUCAACCCUGCGUCGGCCAUGAAUACUGCCGCGGCUGGAGCACUGUAGAGGCAGGCGGAAUUCCAGGUGUAGCGGUGAAAUGCGUAGAUAUCUGGAGGAACACCGGUGGCGAAGGCGGCAUCCUGGACCGGUAUUGACGCUGAGGCGCGAAAGCCAGGGGAGCAAACGGG
rnacentral:rRNA from 1 species